GCUUCAUGUUCAGGAAGGAGUCCUGUGAUGAAACACAAAGAGGCUCAAAGCUGCGUGAAGCCGGAUCAGGACCAAACUGAGAGCGGUUCUGUAGAGUCUGCAUGAGUCCUGAUCUCUAAGUGAUUAAUAACUAAUCAAACGUUCCUCACAGUAACGUCUGAUGAACACGAUCCCUUAUGGAGGGAACCAGCAUGCUGAGUCCUCACGUGAUCUGGUCUCCACUAAAGGCUCAAACCUGCAGAGCUGCUGCUGUUCUCACACGUUCUCACCACAACGCUUCCUCUUCACUUCUGAGGAAACAACCACCAGAUGCAAAGAGGAAGAAACUCAUCCUCAGAGCUCCGACACGUCGUCUCUAUGAGCACGACGAGGAAGUGACGCUGUGCAACCAGAGGAAGCAGAAGCUGCAUCUGUGAGGAAGAAGCACUCGGUCAGACGCCUUGAGGAGCAGAGACACCAUGGUGGAACUCAGAGGGACUCAAAGGACUUUAUGUGUGAUGCUGCUGCUGCUUCAGGCUGCAGUAAGAGGACAAACCCCCCCUGUCCCCCGCUUCCUCGUCAGAGCCGGAGAUGACGUCACUUUGCCUUCUAAUCAGGACAGAUGUAACGGAUCUACUUGGCUUCACAGUCGUAGUGAUCCAGCUGUGGAGCUGGUUACACUUGGGAAGAUUAAGAAUAACGCUUUGAUUCCAGAAGCUAAAACCAACAGACUGAGUUUGACAGCAAACUGUUCUCUGGUUAUAAGAAACGUCUCAGGUGAAGGUGUUGGUCGUUACACCAACAGACAUUAUGAUGAAGGAGGAAAACAUCAAGGUCCAGAUGGUGUGGUCUCUCUGUACGUGUUUACAAUGGAGGAAAAGGACUACGGGGGUCUGGUUGUGUUGUCCUGCUUUGUGUUGAGAUUCUCUGAGUGUGAACACACAGUAAAGUGGCAUUAUGACGGCAAACAGACUGAUGUGACGACAUCACACGUUGCUUGUGAAGCCAAUGUGACGUUUAAAGCUCCUCUUCAUCAGAAGUCAAAGUAUUAUAAGUCACUGAGAUGUGAAGUGAGAGACACUCGGAGUGGAAAAACUCUGCUGUUUGAAGCCUGCAGUCAGUUCUCAUGUGAACAAACAGUAAGAGGACAAACCCCCCCUGACCCCCGCUUCCUCGUCAGAGCCGGAGAUGACGUCACUUUGCCUUCUAACCAUGUGGAUCAGGACAGAUGUGACGGUUCUACUUGGCUUUACAAUCGUACUGAUUCAUCUGUGGAGCUGGUUACACUUGGGAAGAUUAAUAAUAACGCUUUGAUUCCAGAAGCUAAAAGCAACAAACUGAGUUUGACAGCAAACUGUUCUCUGGUUAUAAGAAGCGUCUCAGGUGAAGAUGUUGGUCGUUACACCAACAGAGAUUUUAAUGAAGCAGGAAAACAACAAGGUCCAGAUGGUGUGGUCUCUCUGUCCAUGUUUACAAUGGAGGAAAAGGACUACGGGGGUCUGGUUGUGUUUUCCUGCUUUGUGUUGAGAUUCUCUGAGUGUGAACACACAGUAGAGUGGCUUUAUGACGGCAAACAGACUGAUGUGAUGAUGUCACACGCUGCUUGUGAAGCCACUGUGACGUUUAAAGCUCCUCUUCAUCAGAAGUCAAAGUAUUAUAAGUCACUGAGAUGUGAAGUGAGAGACAAUCAGAGCGGAAAAACUCUGCUGUUUGAAGCCUGCAGUCAGUUCUCAUCUGAACAAACAGGUACGUUUGUGAAAAGACGACAUCAUUUUAUUCCUCAUUCAGUCUCCUCAGGUAGUAAACACUGAUUUAUUUCACCUCCUUUUCUCGUGUCUGUGUUUCAUAUCAUAUUCCACUAAACCAAAGGAGGCCCAUCGGGGGAGGGAAACAUUACACCACCUGCACCACCAGUCUGGUGGCCGUGGCUCGUCAUCCCGCUGGUGGGUUUAUUGGUCCUCUUCAUCAUCCUCGUGGUCUUCAUCAGAUGGAGAAAUCAAGGGAAAAGAACACAGACGGACGAAAACAUCGCCGACCCCGAGGAAGGCGUAGCCUACGCCUCCGUCAGCUACACCAGGACGGCCGGCGGAGGAGCCCGGGCUCGGGUCAAAGAUGGCGACGAUGGCGACGAUGUGGUGACUUACUGCACUGUGAAAGCUCCGCCUCCUGCUUCUUCUUCUAGUGCCGGAGCCUCCGUUGAUCCCAGUGACCUCUACGCGGUCGUCAACACACCCAACAAAUAAGAGGCUACGUUGAUGAUUGUAAACCAAGUCAAGCUUUCUUCAUCACGUUCACUCACUGCUGAGAUGAAUUGAGCCAUUUAGCAAAAUGUUUAGAGCAUUUUAUAUUCAUUGAUGUUUUAUUUGAAUAACCUGAAUGUUCCCACCAGAUAAAUCAGAUUAUUAUUGGAAAAUAUAAAUAUGAUAAUACUGAAACCUAGUUUUGCAUUUAAAGUGAGCUUUUGACCACGUUUUUUUACAUUAUGAUAAUUUGUAGGAUUUAGUUCUUUUGAUUUAUAUCCAUCCAGAUGAGGGUGUAAGUGAACUAUAGAACAAUGUGCAACAUUCAUUAGAAAAUUA
ensembl:lncRNA